rnacentral:rRNA from 2 species
AAAAACAUGUCUCUUUGAGAAAAACAAAUAAAGAGUCAGGCCUGCCCAGUGAAUAAUUUUUAACGGCCGCAGUAUUUUAACUGUGCGAAGGUAGCAUAAUAAUUUGCCCUAUAAUUGAGGGCUAGAAUGAAAGGUUAGACGAGAGCAAAACUGUCUCUAUAUCGACUUUUUAGAAUUUGAUUUUUAAGUGAAGAAACUUAAAUACUAUUAAAAGACAAGAAGACCCUAUUGAGCUUUAAAAAAAUAAAUAGAUCUGAUCUAAAAUGGAAGACUCAACUAUUUAAGAUUUUGGUUGGGGCGACCAAGGAACAAACAGAACUUCCUUAUACAAUAAAUAUUGACAAAUAUGAUCCAAUAUAUUUUGAUUAGAGAAAUUAGCUACCAUAGGGAUAACAGCAUAAUCCUCUUUGAGAGCACUUAUCGAAAAGGGGGUUUGUGACCUCGAUGUUGGACUAGAAUAUCCUAAAGACGCAGCAGUCUUUAAAGGUUGGUCUGUUCGACCAUUAAAAUUCUACGUGAU